rnacentral:rRNA from 1 species
CCUACGGGUGGCAGCAGUGGGGAAUAUUGCACAAUGGGGGAAACCCUGAUGCAGCGACGCCGCGUGAGUGAAGAAGUAUCUCGGUACGUAAAGCUCUAUCAGCAGGGAAGAAAAUGACGGUACCUGACUAAGAAGCCCCGGCUAACUACGUGCCAGCAGCCGCGGUAAUACGUAGGGGGCAAGCGUUAUCCGGAUUUACUGGGUGUAAAGGGAGCGUAGACGGCCGCUCAAGUCUGGAGUGAAAUCCCGGGGCUUAACCCGGGAACUGCUUUGGAAACUGGGCGGCUGGAGUGCAGGAGUGGUGAGCGGAAUUCCUAGUGUAGCGGUGAAAUGCGUAGAUAUUAGGAGGAACACCGGUGGCGAAGGCGGCUUACUGGACUGUAACUGACGUUGAGGCUCGAAAGCGUGGGGAGCAAACAGGAUUAGAUACCCGUGUAGUC